CGGAGGGUGCAAGCGUUAUCCGGAUUCACUGGGUUUAAAGGGUGCGUAGGUGGGUAGGUAAGUCCGUGGUGAAAUCCUGCAGCUUAACUGCAGAACUGCCGUGGAUACUAUCUCUCUUGAAUACCGUGGAGGUCAGCGGAAUAUGUCAUGUAGCGGUGAAAUGCUUAGAUAUGACAUAGAACACCAAUUGCGAAGGCAGCUGGCUACACGAAUAUUGACACUGAGGCACGAAAGCGUGGGGAUCAAACAGGAUUAGAUACCCUGGUAGUCCACGCCCUAAACUAUGGAUACUCGACAUACGCGAUACACUGUGUGUGUCUGAGCGAAAGCAUUAAGUAUCCCACCUGGGAAGUACGAUCGCAAGAUUG
rnacentral:rRNA from 1 species